rnacentral:rRNA from 1 species
AGAUUUCCGAAUGGGGGAACCCACUAUCUUUAGUCGGAUAGUAUCCUUACGUGAAUACAUAGCGUGAGGAAGGCAGACCCAGGGAACUGAAACAUCUAAGUACCUGGAGGAAGAGAAAGAAAAAUCGAUUUCCUGAGUAGCGGCGAGCGAAACGGAAAGAGCCCAAACCAAGAAGCUUGCUUCUUGGGGUUGUAGGACACUCUAUACGGAGUUACAAAAGAAAGUUAUAAAUGAAGCGGUCUGGAAAGGCCCGCCAAAGACGG